rnacentral:rRNA from 1 species
GAUGAACGCUGGCGGCGUGCCUAAUACAUGCAAGUCGAGCGAACGGACGAGAAGCUUGCUUCUCUGAUGUUAGCGGCGGACGGGUGAGUAACACGUGGAUAACCUACCUAUAAGACUGGGAUAACUUCGGGAAACCGGAGCUAAUACCGGAUGAUAUUUUGAACCGCAUGGUUCAAAAGUGAAAGACGGUCUUGCUGUCACUUAUAGAUGGAUCCGCGCUGCAUUAGCGAGUUGGUAAGGUAACGGCUUACCAAGGCAACGAUGCAUAGCCGACCUGAGAGGGUGAUCGGCCACACUGGAACUGAGACACGGUCCAGACUCCUACGGGAGGCAGCAGUAGGGAAUCUUCCGCAAUGGGCGAAAGCCUGACGGAGCAACGCCGCGUGAGUGAUGAAGGUCUUCGGAUCGUAAAACUCUGUUAUUAGGGAAGAAAAUAUGUGUAAGUAACUGUGCACAUAGUGACGGUACCUAAUCAGAAAGCCACGGCUAACUACGUG